GGGCCCGCACAAGCGGUGGAGUAUGUGGUUUAAUUCGAUGCAACGCGAAGAACCUUACCAGGGUUUGACAUCCUGCGAAUCUCUUGGAAACUUGAGAGUGCCUUCGGGAGCGCAGUGACAGGUGGUGCAUGGUUGUCGUCAGCUCGUGUCGUGAGAUGUUGGGUUAAGUCCCGCAACGAGCGCAACCCUCGUCCUAUGUUGCCAGCACGUAAUGGUGGGAACUCAUGGGAUACUGCCGGGGUCAACUCGGAGGAAGGUGGGGAUGACGUCAAGUCAUCAUGCCCCUUACAUCCUGGGCUACACACGUACUACAAUGCUACGGACAAAGGGCAGCAAACUCGCGAGAGCUAGCAAAUCCCAUAAACCGUGGCUCAGUUCAGAUCGUAGGCUGCAACUCGCCUACGUG
rnacentral:rRNA from 1 species